rnacentral:rRNA from 1 species
UACGUAGGGGGCAAGCGUUGUCCGGAUUUAUUGGGCGUAAAGAGCUCGUAGGCGGUUCAGCAAGUCGGGUGUGAAAAAUCUGGGCUCAACCCAGUGGAGCACCCGAUACUGCUGUGACUCGAGUCCGGUAGGGGAGUGUGGAAUUUCUCGUGUAGCGGUGAAAUGCGCAGAUAUGAGAAGGAACACCAACGGCGAAGGCAGCACUCUGGGCCGGUACUGACGCUGAGGAGCGAAAGCGUGGGGAGCGAACAGG